rnacentral:rRNA from 1 species
AUUGAACGCUGGCGGCAGGCCUAACACAUGCAAGUCGAGCGGAGCGGCGGACGGGGGAGUAAUGGCUAUGAAUCUGCCUGGUAGUAGGGGAUAGCGUCCGGAAACGGGCGCUAAUACCGCAUACUAUCAGAUGAGCCUCGGGCGGAUUAGCUAGGUGGUGGGGUAAAGGCCUACCAAGGCGACGAUCCGUAACUGGUCUGGGAGGAUGAUCAGUCACACUGGAACUGAGACACGGUCCAGAAUCCUACGGGAGGCAGCAGUGGGGAAUAUUGGACAAUGGGCGAAAGCCUGAUCCAGCCAUGCCGCGUGUGUGAAGAAGGUCUUCGGAUUGUAAAGCACUUUAAGUAGGGAGGCGUUACCUACAGAAUAAGCACCGGCUAACUUCGUGCCAGCAGCCGCGGUAAUUC